GACGAACGCUGGCGGCGUGCCUAAUACAUGCAAGUAGAACGCAGUUUCGAACGGGUGUGUAACGCGUAGGUAACUGCCUCAUAGCAGGGGAUAACUAUUGGAAAAGAUAGCUAAUACCGCAUACUGUGAGAUGGACCUGCGUUGUAUUAGCUAGUUGGUGAGGUAAAGGCUCACCAAGGCGACGAUACAUAGCCGACCUGAGAGGGAGAACGGCCAAACUGGGAAUGAGACACGGCACAGGCGCCGACGGGAGGGAGACGAAGGAAAGCAUCGACAAUGGACGGAAGUAUGGACGAGAAACGCCGGGGGAGUGCAGAAGGUAUUCGGAUCGUAAAGCUAUGUUGUUGGAGAAGCGUUAACUACACAGGAAGGGACGGCUAACUACGUGCCAGCAGCCGCGGUAAUUC
rnacentral:rRNA from 1 species